AUUGAACGCUGGCGGCAUGCCUUACACAUGCAAGUCGAACGGCGGCACGGGGGCAACCCUGGUGGCGAGUGGCGAACGGGUGAGUAAAGCAUCGGAACGUACCCGGAAGUGGGGGAUAACUAUCCGAAAGGAUGGCUAAUACCGCAUAUUCUGUGAGCAGGAAAGAGGGGGAUCGCAAGACCUCUUGCUUUCGGAGCGGCCGAUGUCGGAUUAGCUAGUUGGUGGGGUAAAGGCCUACCAAGGCGACGAUCCGUAGCGGGUCUGAGAGGAUGAUCCGCCACACUUGGACUGAGACACGGCCCAGACUCCUACGGGAGGCAGCAGUGGGGAAUUUUGGACAAUGGGGGCAACCCUGAUCCAGCCAUGCCGCGUGAGUGAAGAAGGCCUUCGGGUUGUAAAGCUCUUUCGGCGGGGAAGAAAUCGCAUCUCCUAAUACGAGAUGUGGAUGACGGUACCCGAAUAAGAAGCACCGGCUAACUACGUGCCAGCAGCCGCGGUAA
rnacentral:rRNA from 1 species